rnacentral:rRNA from 1 species
CGGUGGAGCAUGUGGUUUAAUUCGAAGCAACGCGCAGAACCUUACCAACCUUUGACAUGUCCGGUUUGGGUUCCGAGAUGGUCUAGGCCGGAACAGGUGUGACGAGCGCAACCCUCGCCCUUAGUUGCCAUCGGGAUGUCAAGUCUCAUGGCCCUUACAGGUUGGCUACAUACAUGGCGGUGACAUGGGCAGCGAAGGGGCGACCUGGAGCUUCCCAAAAAGCCGUCUCAGUUCGGAUUGCACUGCAACUCGAGUGCAUGAAGGUGGAAUCGCUAGUAAUCGGGAUCAGAACGCCACGGUGAAUACGUUCCCGGGCCUUGUACACACCGCCGUCACACCAUGGGAGUUGGUCUUACCCGACGGCGCUGCGCCAACCUAGCGAUAGGGGGCAGGCGACCACGUAGGGUCAGCGACUGGGGUGAAGUCGUACAAGGU